UUCCGGUUGAUCCUGCCGGAGGCUACCGCUAUUGGAGUUCGAUUAAGCCAUGCGAGUCUAGAGGCCUAGCCUCGGCGUACCGCUCAGUAACACGUGGGUAACCUACCCUAUACUGGGGAAUAAGCUCGGGAAACUGAGAAUAAUACCCCAUAGUCCACUACGCCUGGAACGGUGAGUGGAUCAAAGCUCCGGCGGCAUAGGAUGGGCCUGCGGCGUAUCAGGUUGUAGGGGGUGUAAUGUACCCUCUAGCCAUCCACGCGUACGGGUGUUGGGAGACAUUGCCCGGAGAUGGAUUCUGAGACGCGAAUCCAGACCCUACGGGGUGCAGCAGGCGCGAAAACUUGGCAAUGCGAGAAAUCGUGACCAGGGAACUCCAAGUGGCAGGGGUAAGACCCUGUCUUUUUCCGACUCUAAAUAGGUCGGCGAAUAAGGGGUGGGUAAGGACGGUGCCAGCCGCCGCGGUAAUACCGGCGCCUCAAGUGGUAGUCGCUUUUAUUGGGCCUAAAACGUCCGUAGCCGGUCUGGUACAUUCGUGGGUAAAUCAACUCGCUCAACGAGUUGAAUUCUGCGAGGACGGCCAGACUUGGGACCGGGAGAGGUGUGGGGUACUCUCAGGGUAGGGGUAAAAUCCUGUCAUCCUGAGAGGACCACCUGUUGCGAAGGCUCCACACUAGAACGGAUCCGACGGUCAGGGACGAAGCCUAGGGGCACGAACCGGAUUAGAUACCCGGGUAGUCCUAGGUGUAAACGCUGUGGACUUGAUGUUGGGGACGCUCCGAGCGUUCUCAGUGUCGAAGCGAAGGUGAUAAGUCCACUGCCUGGGGAGUACGGUCGCAAGGCUGAAACUUAAAGGAAUUGGCGGGGGAGCACCGCAACCUGAGGAUUGUGCGGUUUAAUUGGAUCAACGCCGAA
rnacentral:rRNA from 1 species